AUGAACGCUGGCGGCGUGCCUAAUACAUGCAAGUCGAGCGAACGGACGAGAAGCUUGCUUCUCUGAUGUUAGCGGCGGACGGGUGAGUAACACGUGGAUAACCUACCUAUAAGACUGGGAUAACUUCGGGAAACCGGAGCUAAUACCGGAUAAUAUUUUGAACCGCAUGGUUCAAAAGUAAAAGACGGUCCUGCUGUCACUUAUAGAUGGAUCCGCGCUGCAUUAGCUAGUUGGUAAGGUAACGGCUUACCAAGGCAACGAUGCAUAGCCGACCUGAGAGGGUGAUCGGCCACACUGGAACUGAGACACGGUCCAGACUCCUACGGGAGGCAGCAGUAGGGAAUCUUCCGCAAUGGGCGAAAGCCUGACGGAGCAACGCCGCGUGAGUGAUGAAGGUCUUCGGAUCGUAAAACUCUGUUAUUAGGGAAGAACAUAUGUGUAAGUAACUGUGCACAUCUUGACGGUACCUAAUCAGAAAGCCACGGCUAACUACGUG
rnacentral:rRNA from 1 species